UACGUAGGGUGCGAGCGUUGUCCGGAUUUAUUGGGCGUAAAGAGCUCGUAGGCGGUUUGUCGCGUCGGCCGUGAAAUCUCCACGCUUAACGUGGAGCGUGCGGUCGAUACGGGCAGACUUGAGUUCGGUAGGGGAGACUGGAAUUCCUGGUGUAGCGGUGAAAUGCGCAGAUAUCAGGAGGAGCACCGGUGGCGAAGGCGGGUCUCUGGGCCGAUACUGACGCUGAGGAGCGAAAGCGUGGGGAGCGAACAGG
rnacentral:rRNA from 1 species